ACGGCAGUUUUGAGAUAGGGUAAGAGAGUGGUUUGUGUUUGAGUUUAGAAGUACAUGAGGAUGACAGGACGUACUUAUAUAAGCUACAUGCAUUGAGAAAACAAGGCGAUGUGAAUCAUGUUCCAGAUGACGUGAUGGCGCAAUCAUAUAUAAAACAUUAGUGCCGGCUCUAAAGUCUAAGCCGUAGAGGUGAUAAAUAACUGGCUUCUGCGAGCUGAGGUGCACCGGUGAUGUUCGCCCGCUGUGACGCUGUCUUUUAAACCGCCAUCAGUCACUUCGUUUCUCACGGCCGGCCACAAGUUCACGCCUCUAGAUACAUUUAGAACACCUCGGCGUUGUAAUCAAUAAAAAGUAGAAUCAGGGACGGAGCUUUCAUUCAACAAUGUUAGCCGUUUAUGGCCCGGACUUUGAAAAACGAAAAAUAAAAAGUCUUCUGGAGGUACUCUUCUGGGAGGUCAUGGACAGAAAACGGGCCGAAGCACCACAGAUGACGGUUGUUACUGUGGAUGGAAUUUUUGUUCCUUUCAUCUCAGACAUCUGGUGAGUUCCUAGCAAAUUAAUGUAUGCCACGGUAUCUCACAACCACGAACAAGGCGACAAGAGCUAACAAGGUCAGGGAGCAUCACAAUUCCGAACUACACAGAACCACUGACUUCCAGAAACCGCGGAAGCUAAUGAAAUCAAUCAACCAAGAACUAGGCCUGAUCGAGCCGUCAUUGUCAGCGAGUCUCCUGAUUACCAGCUCGAGUAACACCAAUCCUAGGUAUAUACUUUUUUCAAUGAAUACGUAAUGUACCUUAUAGCAAACAUUGGAAAUCGAUGAUAUGAAACAGGGGUAUGCAAAAUUUAACUUGCGGAUUAAUUAAUUACAAAAAUGAGCACCCCGUGAUUUUCUAAUAUUUAGAGCAGGAGUAGACGAAUUCAGUAUAACUUUGGAGCCGGACACACUUUCCAAGUAUCAAUUACAAAAUCGUUAGAUAAAACAACCUAACUUCUCUAAAUAAUUAAUGUCAUAGCGCAGAGACCUUAUUCAGCUAGUCAAGGAAUUCAUCACCGUUUGUUAAACCCGUGUUCAAAGAAACAUAUCAAUUCGCUUCCCAAUAGA